GCUCCGCCCCUCGGCAGAAGCCCAGGCAUUGUGCGCGGCGGGAAGGAGCAGGAGCCGGAGCGGGCCAGUCCCCCGCCGGCCCUGGGUUCUGAAAGGGAGCCCACUUCCUCCUCUUCCCCCCGACAUUUCUAGGCACUCCGGUUCAGCCCCGCUCCGCCAGCAAACACACCCACACGCUGCUAAGGUCCAGACCCCGCCGGAUCUGGGGGGGCCGGGGGGGCCCCACUCCCCUGUUUCGUCCAGGCUCGCUCACCUACUCCAACCCGGAGGCAGGCGGACUUCCGAGUUGCUCUGAGCCCACCAGGCCCGCCCCAUCACCCCCCAAGGGAUGGAGGCUCAGCACCCGCAGAUGGCCCCCCCCACCCCCUGCAUCCCAGCCCGUCCCCAGGAAGUCAGCGACACAGCCCCUGCGUCCCGGGAACAAAGACAAAAGCGCUAACAGCAAAGCCGGAACUGCUGGGGUUUGCUGCCUCAAAAUAAGAGGCUUGAGGAACUUGGUCAGGCUGGCUUGCUUUUUACAACAACAGCAGCAGGCAGUGGACACAUUUCCCAACCGUCUCCAAGAAGAAAGAAAAUAAAUUGCAGUUUCCUCCAGACCACUGGGGCAGGAGGCUUUUGGAACUUUACAAACAAAACAAAACAAAACAAAA